rnacentral:rRNA from 1 species
UACGAAGGGGGCUAGCGUUGCUCGGAAUCACUGGGCGUAAAGGGCGCGUAGGCGGCGUUUUUAAGUCGGGGGUGAAAGCCUGUGGCUCAACCACAGAAUGGCCUUCGAUACUGGGACGCUUGAGUAUGGUAGAGGUUGGUGGAACAGCUAGUGUAGAGGUGAAAUUCGUAGAUAUUAGCUAGAACACCAGUGGCGAAGGCGGCCAACUGGUCCGGUACUGACGCUGAGGUGCGAAAGCGUGGGGAGCAAACAGG